UUUGGUGGCGAUAGCGGAGGGGUUCCACACGUACCCAUCCCAAACACGACCGUUAAGCCCUCCAGCGCCGAUGGUACUUGGACCGCAGGGUCCUGGGAGAGUAGGACGUUGCCAAGC
rnacentral:rRNA from 1 species